rnacentral:rRNA from 1 species
CCCGCCGUGGACCGCAUGGGAGUGAGAAUGCAGACAUGAGUAGCGAAAGACGGGUGAAGAUCCCGUCCGCUGGACGACCAAGGGUUCCAGGGCCACGUUCAUCGUCCCUGGGUGAGUCGGGUCCUAAGGCGAGGCCGACAGGCGUAGUCGAAUGGAUGAACGGGUCGAUAUUCCCGUACCGGCAUGCAACCGACAAAACCGAAUCCGCGAGUACUAACCUCCGGGUCCGGGCUUACGUCUCCUUCGGGAGCCGGAUGCCCUGGCCUGUUGGGACCGUAACGGUAGUAGGUCAGCGCGGGAGUGACGCAGAAGGGUAGCCGGCCGCGGAGGUGGUCUUCCGUGGUCAAGCACGCAGCCCGUCCCACAGGCAAAUCCGUGGGGCGCGUGGGCGAGGUGCGAUGAUGGGCGCCGCAGGGCGCGAUAUCCGGUGAUCCCGGCUGCCGAGAAAAGCUUCGGCGUGAGGCGGCGUGCCGCCCGUACCCCAAACCGACACUGGUGGUCAGGUAGAGAAUACCAAAGCGAUCGAGCGAAUCCUGGUCAAGGAACUCGGCAAAUCACUCCCGUUCCUUCGGUUUAAGGGAGACCCCCGAUGGUGAAGCGGCUUGCCCGUGGAGCUUUUGGGGGUGGCACAGACCAGGGGGUAGCGACUGUUUACCAAAAACACAGGAGCGUGCGAAGGCGCAAGCCGCUGUAUACGCUCUGACGCCUGCCCGGUGCCGGAAGGUUAAGAGGAUCCGUCAGGCUUCGGCCGAAGCGGUGAAUUCAAGCCCCGGUAAACGGCGGUGGUAACUAUAACCAUCCUAAGGUAGCGAAAUUCCUUGUCGGGUAAGUUCCGACCUGCACGAAUGGCGUAACGACUUCCCCACUGUCUCGACCAGGAGCUCGGCGAAAUUGCAGUACGAGUAAAGAUGCUCGUUAAGCGCAGAAGGACGAAAAGACCCCGGGACCUUUACUAUACCUUGGUAUUGGCAUUCGGUGUGGAUUGUGUAGCAUAGGCGGAAGGCUUCGAAGCCACGGCGCCAGCCGCGGUGGAGCCGCAAGGUGAAAUACCGCUCUGUUCGCAUUGGAUGUCUAACCUCGACCAGUCAUCCUGGUCAGGGACAGUGCCUGGCGGGUAGUUUAACUGGGGCGGUUGCCUCCCAAAGAGUAACGGAGGCGCUCAAAGGUUCCCUCAGCCCGGUUGGCAAUCGGGUGGCGAGUGUAAGUGCACAAGGGAGCUUGACUGCGAGACUGACGGGUCGAGCAGGGACGAAAGUCGGAACUAGUGAUCCGGUGCCGGUGUACGGACGCGGCAUCGCUCAACGGAUAAAAGGUACCCCGGGGAUAACAGGCUGAUCAUUCCCAAGAGUCCAUAUCGACGGGAUGGUUU